rnacentral:rRNA from 1 species
AGAUUGAACGCUGGCGGCAGGCCUAACACAUGCAAGUCGAGCGGUAGAGAGGUGCUUGCACCUCUUGAGAGCGGCGGACGGGUGAGUAAUGCCUAGGAAUCUGCCUAGUGGUGGGGGAUAACGUUCGGAAACGGACGCUAAUACCGCAUACGUCCUACGGGAGAAAGCGGGGGACCUUCGGGCCUCGCGCCAUUAGAUGAGCCUAGGUCGGAUUAGCUAGUUGGUGAAGUAAUGGCUCACCAAGGCGACGAUCCGUAACUGGUCUGAGAGGAUGAUCAGUCACACUGGAACUGACGACACGGUCCAGACUCCGUACGGGAGCAGCAGUGGGAAUAGUGGACAGUGGGACAAGCCUGAUCCAGCCAUGCCGCGUGUGUAGAAGAGGUC